rnacentral:rRNA from 1 species
AGUGAACGCUGGCGGUAGGCCUAACACAUGCAAGUCGAACGGCAGCACAGUAAGAGCUUGCUCUUACGGGUGGCGAGUGGCGGACGGGUGAGGAAUACAUCGGAAUCUACUUUUUCGUGGGGGUUAACGUAGGGAAACUUACGCUCAUAUCGCAUACGACCUACGGGUGAAAGCAGGGGAUCUUUGGACCUUGCGCGAUUGAAUGCGCCGAUGUCGGAUUAGCUAGUUGGCGGGGUAAAGGCCCACCAAGGCGACGAUCCGUAGCUGGUGUGAGAGGAUGAUCAGCGACACGGGAACGGAGACACGGUCCAGACGCCUGCGGGAGGCAGCAGUGGGGAAUAUUGGACAAUGGGCGCAAGCCUGAUCCAGCCAGACCACGUGGGAGAAGAAGGCCUUCGGGUUGGAAAGCCCUUUUGUUGGGAAAGAAAAGCAGCAGGUUAAUACCCCGCUGUUCUGACGGUACCCGAAGAAUAAGCACCGGCUAACUUCGUG